rnacentral:rRNA from 1 species
CACUGUGAAGCUUGAGUGCAGGGUUGGGCCUGGUUAGCACUUGGAUGGGAGGCCACUUGGAAAACCAGGUGUCACAGCGG